ensembl:lncRNA
GUGCCUUUAUAAGACUGCGUCAAUGGUCCCGUGGAGUUAUCCCUUCUGUUGAUGUUUAUUGAUUGUCAAACAUGGCUUCAUUUGCAAAGGUGGUUGUGUGUGUCCUCAUUGCUUGUGUCUGUAAUGCAUUCGGUUUUCCGAAGAGAGAUGUGAACUUUAAGGCCUCUGCAGUUGACCGCCAAAGUGAUGAUGUGGUUGUCACCACAACACCCGUUCCCCACAACCAGACCACCUCUGCCCCUACUGAAGCUGGUGGUGGUGCAAGUGAAGAUGCUGUGGCUACUACCCCAGCACCUAAUCCACACAACCAGACAACUUCUGCACAAACUGAAGUUACUGAUGGAGCCAGUGAAGAUGCUGUGGACCGCCAAAGUGAUGAUGUGGUUGUCGCCACAACACCUGAUCCCCACAACCAGACCACAUCUGCCCCUACUGAAGCUGGUGAUGGAGCAAGUGAAGAUGCUGUGGCUACCACCCCAACACCAAAUCCCCCAACUACAUCUGACCACACUGCAGCUACCGGUAAGGACAUCAGUGCAUGUCUGUUUUGAUGGAACACUUUGAAUGUUUGCGCCCCCCUUUUGACAGUGUCGCUUUCUAUUUGUGCGUAAUCGCAAAAUGAUGCAAGUGAGGGUGCUGUGGCUGCCCAAACUGGAACUACUGUAUCCCAUACGACUGAAGUCUGAUUCGACUGCUCCUCUGGUCACAAUGACCUGUCUGGACUUUUUGCCUCUACAUUUUGACUGCAAUAAAGGACAGAUUUGUAUUUUUUAAUCAAAUGUUGUCUUGCCUUUUUCGAAUUGAGGCCUUGUCCUGUUUUGGUAGUGGAGAUGACUAUGAAGCCUCUUUCCUAACGUAUUUCCUGUAGUGGUUUUACUAUAUGCUUCAUGCAACAAGGCCUUCAACGACUCUACAAUUUAAAAGCAUCUAGUUGUGUCUGAAUUUGUAAAAUGGUUGAACUGGUAGUGAUGCACUAUAAUGGUGAACUGCUUGUGGCAUUUCAAUAAUCUCUACUGUACUGUUUGACAUGUACAUCUCAAGUGAAUUUGCGUGGUAAUUGGUAAACUGAUGUCCGUCCCUACUAAGGGAGUACUGGCCUUAGUAGGCCAACCCCCUGAAAGGCAUUCAAACAAUAACA